rnacentral:lncRNA from 1 species
GGCGGGCCACCGCGUGGAGGCCUCUGUUGGGCGCGGAGAAGCUGAGCGUGCCGCCCAGCUCCCACCCAUUAUGCGGCGCUGGCGCUCUUGAGACAGCCUGCGGUGUCCCCGAAGGGGGGACACGUGGAUAAAGAUGUACACGCAAAGACACCCUUGAAUUAUGAGCGGACUCCAUGGCCAAAGGAUGACCCGCAGUUCACAGGGAAUCGGUGUGAAUGUCAGUGAUCACAAACCCAAAGAGCUGGAGUUUGGGGGAUCCUUUUUUACGUUUAUGUGUGCGUGGGAACACGUGGAAGUCCGACCAUAGUGCAGGAGCCGGUUCUCUCCUUUCACCGUGUGGCUCCGGGAACCAAAUUCGGCUCUUCAGUGUUAGCGCGCUGAGCCCAAGAACUGGAGGAGAUACUGGUUUAGCUAGACAAACAAGUUUGAGAACCCUUGGGCAACAUCUGUAUGCUUCAAAAAAUAAGCCGAAUAAACUGCAACUGCCACUAGUCGGCGCUGUUAAUACGAUAGUCAAAACCGAAAAGUAAAAGGCAUUUGUCCAUUCAUGCUAGUCACUUGAU